rnacentral:rRNA from 1 species
AUACGGAGGAUCCGAGCGUUAUCCGGAUUUAUUGGGUUUAAAGGGAGCGUAGGCGGGAGAUCAAGUCAGCUGUGAAAUGUAGAUGCUCAACAUCUGCACUGCAGUUGAAACUGGUUUUCUUGAGUGCGUACGGGGCAGGCGGAAUUCGUCGUGUAGCGGUGAAAUGCUUAGAUAUGACGAAGAACUCCGAUCGCGAAGGCGGCCUGCCGGGCCGCGACUGACGCUGAAGCUCGAAGGUGCGGGUAUCGAACAGGAUUAGAUACCCUGGUAGUCCGCACAGUAAACGAUGGACACCCGCGGUUUGGCCUGUAUGGCUGAGCCGCCAAGCGAAAGCGUUAAGUGUCCCACCUGGGGAGUACGCCGGCAACGGUGAAACUCAAAGGAAUUGACGGGG